GUCAGUCUCGCCCUAUUGUCACACACCAACGCCAUUAAAGCUAUGGUAUAGAGAGGGGUAUAGAUCAUCACCCACCAUGCCCUGGAUAUGCAGAGCAAGGAAGAAGAAGAGGAGGAUGCUCAGCAACAAGGCAAAGGAAGGAAGACCAACAACAACAACAACAGGAGGAAGUUGUUGGAAGUGCAGCAAGCCAUUUUGGCCAACAUGUCUCAAGCUCAUCAAGAUUUCAGGGACGAGCUGGUUGGAUCCGGAGAUCGUGUUCAAAUUGGCAUGUGAGGUAUUGGAAAAGUUGGUAGUUUACAAUAAAAAAAUCGAAUUAAAAUGAAUAUAAUAAAUAUCGACUAUAGAUUCAGACA